CCUACGGGAGGCAGCAGUGGGGAAUAUUGCACAAUGGGGGAAACCCUGAUGCAGCGACGCCGCGUGAGUGAAGAAGUAUUUCGGUAUGUAAAGCUCUAUCAGCAGGGAAGAAAAUGACGGUACCUGAUUAAGAAGCCCCGGCUAACUACGUGCCAGCAGCCGCGGUAAUACGUAGGGGGCAGGCGUUAUCCGGAUUUACUGGGUGUAAAGGGAGCGUAGACGGCAGCACAAGUCUGGAGUGAAAUGCCGGGGCUCAACCCCGGCCUGCCGUUGAAACUGGCGGCCUCGAGUGGGCGAGAAGUAUGCGGAAUGCGUGGUGUAGCGGUGAAAUGCAUAGAUAUCACGCAGAACUCCGAUUGCGAAGGCAGCAUACCGGCGCCCUACUGACGCUGAGGCACGAAAGCGUGGGUAUCGAACAGGAUUAGAUACCCUUGUAGUC
rnacentral:rRNA from 1 species